rnacentral:rRNA from 1 species
AACGCGAAGAACCUUACCUGGGUUUGACAUGCACAGGACGACUGCAGAGAUGUGGUUUCCCUUGUGGCCUGUGUGCAGGUGGUGCAUGGCUGUCGUCAGCUCGUGUCGUGAGAUGUUGGGUUAAGUCCCGCAACGAGCGCAACCCUUGUCUCAUGUUGCCAGCACGUUAUGGUGGGGACUCGUGAGAGACUGCCGGGGUCAACUCGGAGGAAGGUGGGGAUGACGUCAAGUCAUCAUGCCCCUUAUGUCCAGGGCUUCACACAUGCUACAAUGGCCGGUACAAAGGGCUGCGAUGCCGUGAGGUGGAGCGAAUCCUUUCAUAGCCGGUCUCAGUUCGGAUCGGGGUCUGCAACUCGACCCCGUGAAGUCGGAGUCGCUAGUAAUCGCAGAUCAGCAACGCUGCGGUGAAUACGUUCCCGGGUCUUGUACACACCG